UCCCUCUUAGCUCAGUUGGUAGAGCGCGUCACUAGUAUAGUUUGAUGGCGCAUUAUCAUGACGAGGUCAGUCGUUCAAGUCGGCUAGAGGGAA